CUCAAACCAGACAGAAUCCCAGCAUGGACAUAGGAGCUUAAUGGAGCCUCUGUCCUUCCAAGAAUGCAACACAGCAAACGGGAAGCUGAAACCCAUCAGGAAUGGCCCUGAUACAGAUCAGGGGGACAUUGGUGUAUAUGUGCAUGUAUCUGCGAAGUCCCUGCAGAAGACUCUCUGAACGCAAGGCAGGGAAGCCUCCCACGACUGAGCCAUGGUGUAGGGGCAGAAGAAAGUGGUGCCCAUCUCACUUGAGGAUUCCAAGGACUGGAAUGUGGACAUCGUUGAGACCAUUAUCUGCCUCCUCAACUCACUGGGCGUUGCUGCAGCUAUCAGAGAGGAUGCUGGCAGGAGAGGGCACCUGGAGCCUGUGGUGCCUGGUGGAGGAAUACAGCUACUAAGUGUGAGCUGGGAUCCCACAGUGAAGAACACCUAACCCUUACAUCAUCUGAUCCCACGUCCAUCUGCUCAUGGCCCACACCCAAUGCUGACCAAAUUUACCACAGGAAAAAGGCUUGGCAGCUGACAAUGGAGUUCAUCCAUGGCAGGUUCCUGGAACCCAGCACUGAUGAGCAAUGAGAGCCCUGAGACCUACGCAGCCCAACACCACAGUGAAAAGAUUCUGGGUCCAUGUCAGACAAUCAUUAGAGAAAGGAUGACACCCACUGCUGGACUGCACUGCCGUGACCAGUUACAGCUGCUACCUGAGGCAAAAUACUGGGGAAAAAGCUUCCUGAAGACAAGUACUUCUAAUGCCACCUCCUGUUCCAAAAUCCAGAUUAUGCCUCAUGCCCCACGAGGGCCAGAGCAGAAGGGGAAGGGUGGUCCCCCCUUUGGCCCUGUGAGGACAGCCCCUCAGUGCAUUAGUCCCUUUCUAAGUCCCUUUCUCACAGACCUCUGGGAAUUUCCCAUGUUUGGGGGCUCUUCGUCCAAAUCCCUGCCUCCCACUCAGCACAGUGUCCUUAGUGAAGAGCAGCAGUCAGUUUAAGAAAUCACCAUUUGCUGACUUGUUAAUGCUUACAUGCAGCAAAGGCUCAUCCUGAUGUCCUUUUAAACUUCUCUGCAUAUUGUGUCUGAAUCUUUAUCAUGCCUUUCCUCAUUGCCGUCUACAAGUCUCAAAGUUGAAUUUGAUUUUUGCUGUGCUCUAAAAAUUGGCAAAAGUGACACUGCUCUGCAUUAGAGGGUAGAAGCUGGUCACGGGACAUCAACACUGACAGAGCUGCCCACUGGGUUUGGGAGUUAGUGAUGGACUUAGAAAACACUGAGAAUAUCUUGGAAAGAAUCAAGACUCCACAGGAGUUCCCAUUUGCAUUGGCUACCUUCCACUGCUCCCCUUUCCCUCUAUCCUCCCAGCUCCUCCUACGGUGGCUUCCCUGAUAUACCACCUGCUCUCAAAUCCUGCCGCCAUGCCCUGCUUCUGGGAAAACCCAAAUAAAACACUUCCCGGCAACCUC